rnacentral:rRNA from 1 species
UACGUAGGGUGCGAGCGUUGUCCGGAAUUAUUGGGCGUAAAGAGCUCGUAGGCGGUUCGUCGCGUCGAAUGUGAAAACCCGGGGCUCAACUCCGGGCCUGCAUUCGAUACGGGCGGACUAGAGUUCGGUAGGGGAGACUGGAAUUCCUGGUGUAGCGGUGAAAUGCGCAGAUAUCAGGAGGAACACCAACGGCGAAGGCAGCUCGCUAGGACGGUACUGACGCUGAGGCGCGAAAGCGUGGGGAGCAAACAGG